UACGAAGGGGGCUAGCGUUGCUCGGAAUCACUGGGCGUAAAGCGCACGUAGGCGGCUUCUUAAGUCGAGGGUGAAAUCCUGGAGCUCAACUCCAGAACUGCCUUCGAUACUGGGGAGCUUGAGUCCGGGAGAGGUGAGUGGAACUGCGAGUGUAGAGGUGAAAUUCGUAGAUAUUCGCAAGAACACCAGUGGCGAAGGCGGCUCACUGGCCCGGUACUGACGCUGAGGUGCGAAAGCGUGGGGAGCGAACAGG
rnacentral:rRNA from 1 species